UGUUUGUCCUGCUUGAUCCAUAGUAUUAGAGAUAGUGGCGUUCCUACGGAUGAGGAGUACUCGGCCUCCAGCCGAAUCUCACGUCAACGUGAAUGUUUUUGGCUUUUUGUCCUGUUUACUACUACUGCUGGCUGGCUAGGUCCGCAGCAGUGAGGUGCUCGCCCUGACAAAUGAACUGGCAAUACUGCAGGCUAAACUGGACACUCUGCAUCAGUCAAACUCGAAACUUGACAGCGAGUGGCAGCACAUACGCAACACGGCAGCCAAGCAGACUCUCACCCUCGGCCAGUUGAAGCUGGCCACAUCUAACCUGUAUACGAUGAUCAACAGUCAUAUGGGGUCACAUCGCUACAAGGAUGGUGUCACGUUUGGCAAGAUGCUAGAGAGGAUCGACGUGUUCAUCAAGGAUUUGACGGACAUCACAACCAAGACUGCCGGCGCUGAUAUUGGCUCGACGUCUUCCAUUGCUCUGGGCAUGGGUCAGAGUCCCAGGGCGCAGGCCACCCUCGGCGCCGGAGGCCGAGCUGCC